ensembl:lncRNA
GAAGAAGAAGCAGAAAUUUAAGCUUGGGGUUUAUCACAAUGGCCUUGCUCAAGCUUAUUACCUGUUAAUUAGGUUGGCUCCUGGCAUCAUUAUGGUUAUUUUUCUAUCUAGAGAACAUUGUUUCUCAGGAAUAUAUCCUGAAGAUAAGUCCAGUACCUGUGUCAGGUCUGGCUAUUUCUACAGCCUUUACUUGCUCCCUCUGUCAACAUUUCCCUGAGUAGUAAAAGCAGAUUUGAUAUCCUUUGCUGUCCUCAUCCCUCAGCCUCAUCAAAGCAACAACAGCAAUGAAUCCAUACUGGAGGAACAGCCAGGAUCAUAUCCUCAAGUAAUUCAAAUAUAUGUCAUAUAUUUGUUGCUGAGUGCUAAUGCUGUUAUUUUGUUUGAUUUUAUUUUAGCCUGGGUCUCAUGUAUCACAGGAUGGCCUCCAAUUAUCUAUGUAGUAAAAAGGACUUUGAAUUUCUGGUUUUCCUGAAUCCAUUUCCAGAGUGCUAGGGUUACAGAUAUGUAACUUCAAGUUGUGUUUUAAGUGGUGCUGAGGAUUGAACCAUGCUAGGCAGGCACUCUCCAACUGAGCACCUAGAUCAUAACAUCUUUUAAAGAAGUUAAGACCACUCUUCUUUUCUUUGUUUUUAAUUAUUUGCAUUCACUUCACGUAAAAAUACAUGAUCUAUGAUUUGCCAAUAUGAUAUAAUGAAUCCCCAGAUCUUUAAAAAUGAGAAACUUGUAUCUGGGACAGUCCCCCAUUUGUUGAGAUGGUAAUUGUUUCAACUUUGAUGUCCUUCAUGAUGCACAUCUGUUUCAGCUCCUCUACCAGACACACUCACUGACACACAUGUUGUUGGGUUAGUGACAGAUCACAACUGUAAAUUCCAUGAUGUAAUGUUUGUCGAGCAAAAAAUAAGACUUUAUAGCUAGAAUUUGUUGUGACUUUUUCACAUAGCAUGCUGCGAAGGUUUUCCAGAAAAGAAAAUCUUGGAUUUGUUCAUAAAAUACAGUAAGAGCAGAUGAGGGAGCCUUUCACCAUUCCUGAUACAACUGAACUAGACACCAGGCAUUGCUUAUAUCCUGUACCAGAUGAUGGGGACAUUAACUUGUCAUUUUAUUAUCUAAACUGCUUUCACUUUUAUCUAAUCAGAUCUCAUUCACUGGAUUUAUCAUGUUGGUGCUUACAGAUGCUUCAAUCCUGCCUCAUUCCUUCCUGAGAAAAAUCAUCCAUACCUCAAUAUUGUAGAAAUAUUCUGUUGUACUUCUUCUAAUAGUCUCACGUGUAUUUUUAACCAUUUGACCAGUAAUUCGUUUGCUAAAAGUUCCACUAAGUGCUUAAAUAUAUAACUUUAUCAACCAGCCACAGUAUGGAAGUUUUUGUAAACAAAAUGUUGCUUUUGGACAUAAUUUUACUAGCUUCAUGUCUCAUGACAGCUGCUUUAAAUAAGAUAAUGUAGAACAAAGUGCUAUCUGGGAAAACAGGAUGCCCCUGUGAACUAGCAAUUCUAGCAAAAAUGCACUAACUGCACAUGAGUGUUAAUAUUCAAAGUUUCUAUUAUGAAGAGAGAUUUCACAAGUACUCUGAUUGUCUUUAUAGUGUGUGAUAUGCCACCACACAGAACCACUUGCAGGCAUAAAUAGUUUUUAAUCC